rnacentral:misc_RNA from 1 species
AACGCACAUUGCGCCCGCCGGUACUCCGGCGGGCAUGCCUGUUCGAGCGUCAUUUCAACCCUCAAGCCCAGCUUGGUGUUGGGGCACCCGGCCGCCUGGCGGCCCCGGGGCCCUCAAGUAUAUCGGCGGUCUCGUCGGGACUCUGAGCGCAGUAACUCGCGGUAAAACGCGCCUCGCUUGGUCUGUCUCCGGCGGGCUCCAGCCGCUAAACCCCUCCUUUCUCCCAGAGUUGACCUCGGAUCAGGUAGGAUUACCCGCUGAACUUAA